rnacentral:misc_RNA from 1 species
AAAAAAAAAAAAAAAAAGCACAGAAUUAUAGCAACACAAGGAAAGAACAAAAAAUGCACAGUUCAAAACUAAAUGGCAUUAUCAGCACAAAAGUAUGCUCAUUAUGAAAAAAAAAAAGUAUGCUUAUUGCAAAAAAAGAAAAAAAUAAUUGUAAAAAAAAAGUAAGAAAUAUAGGGAUAUUUAAACAGAUCCUUGCAACAAGUAUCAUAAUUAUAUUUACCUGCAGUUGUCAAAGCAUCCCAAGUUACAUUCAAUUUCAAUAUCAAAUAGUUGUAAACACAAGAUGUGAAAACAAGCACAAACCUGCGGAUUCAUGAAAGGUAAACGAUAUAACAUCAUGUUCCACCUAUACUACAGGAUAUAGUCCUUUGUGAAAAACAAUUUGCUAUAGGUUUUCUUUCAUAUCAUAAUUGCAUUGAUAAUGCUACGGGGCCUAUUCAAUUGGCCAUUUUAACAAAUUAUAACUAUACAGCCUGGUGCAGCGAUAAGUUUAUAAAGACAAUUCUAAGUAGAGUGAAACAGAUCAGUAAUGGCAGAGCAAUGUGGAUUAAAGGCUCUUUCAAUUCCUAACUUACCCAUCUCACAUCGUACCCCUGCUUUCAUGUUGUAAAGCAAAGAAUUAUCUUGUAUAAUCAAUUUUUUAAAACCCACCAGGUUGAGUUAUUCUAGAGUUUCACAUAUAAAUCACUAACAGUAUUCUACAGAUUUACGAAAAUAUGAAAGAUACUUGUGUCUAAAACUGUAUGCCACUUUCAUGUGGAGUAUGUACAUACAAAGAAGUCUACUUUACAAGGUCAAACAGGAAUAUUAUAAAGCAACAUUUAUGUUUAAAUCUGCCCAAACACACAAGGCAAGAAAGAAAAAAAAAUGCAUGAUUUUUAAAAUCUAAGUAACAUUAUCAGUAUAAAUUAUGCUUAUCAACACACAAAAAAAGUAACAAAAUCAUGCUAG